ensembl:lncRNA
UUUUUUUUUUUUUUUUGUCAAAUUACAGAUACCACUGCCCCCACCCCGAACCCUGAUCAGAAUGUGAGCUCUAUGAAGGAACGUAGUUUUGUCUGUCUUCGUCACUGAUGUACCUUGAACAGUGCCUGGAACAUAGGAGGUGUUUAUACUUUGUUCAAUGAAUUCAAGGGGUGUGAAUUUUCAUGCCUAUCAUUAUAGGACCUGCAUUCAAACAUUUGAUGGAGACUUUAUGUAAACAUUUCAAUUAUUUGUAUCACCUGUGCUGUCCUCCAAUGGUAUGGGUUAAGAGGUGACACUGGCUGUUUAUAACAAUAAAACUGCUAUUUCUAUGUAUAUAUAAUCUCAUAGAGUUGAGAUUUGAACCCAGGUCUAUCAUACCCCAGUCCCAGGUACCUUACCGCUUCAAUGCCUUCGUAAGGACCAGUGAGGAAAACUGGCCUAUAGUCUUAUACCUCUGAGUUACUCUAUUGUAUCAUUUAACAUCAUUAAGCAUCUCAAAUAACCUGGCUCCAAAGCAGCAACGUUUCAGCGGAAAUCAGUAUACCUCAGAUUUUUGUUAAAAGCAGAAAGAUCCUUUUCAUUGGCUUAUGCAAUCAAAGCAUGUAAUGACUUUUAAAGAAAAUUCCACAGCAGAUGGCAUUCUGAUGUCUUCAAAGUGUGGUUUGAUGGGACCAACAGUGAACAUGAAGAGGAGGUAUGAUUUAAAAGAAAGCUGUUGGAGUACUGUGUUGCAAAUAAAAUCUAAUAAGGCACUUUGCAAUUCAUUUCUCUCUUUUUUUUUCCCUGGUGUUUUGCUGUUGCCUUUCAUUCCCAAACACUAAAAAUGUUCCUCUCCAGUUUCCAUUCUCAGUUCAAACUCCAUCUUGUUCUCUCCAAGAAUCUGACACUUCCUUCUCCUAGUGGACUGGAAAGGAGGCAUUUCACAGUUUAGCUGAGGGGGUGGGAGGGUGAUCUGGGCCUCCUCAGAAUGCGUCAAGUCUCAUUUUUAUCCACCAUCUCAUCCCUAAAUGUCAACAUUUGGAGAAAAUGACCUCUAAAUUCUUCUAGUCCUGUAAGUCGACCAUCCUACAGCAAUGAUGCUGGACCCUAAUUUGGACCCAUUCCAUGGGAUACACAUCCAUGUCCACCUGUUUAUGAAAGCGUUCCCCUCCUGGCAGUGAGACAGACUGAAAGGUGAAUGGUGUUUUCCAGGGCUUCUGUGCUGUUCCUCUGAACUUAUAAUGUGCCAAUCUCAAGCCAAAGAGGACUGCCAACUCAGAGCUGUCCUCACAGACCUGAGGUCCAGAAGACUGACACUGCCCAAGCAGGAAGAUAGGAGGUGGUGAGGAAUCCAUGUAGACAGGAGCCCAGAGGCCUGCAGUCAUAGGGGCUCUCAAGCCCUUGCUUUUCAAAGUGAGGUCUGAGGGCCGGCCACAAAGGCACCAGCUGAGGGAUGUUGGAAUUUCAGACUCCUCUCCAGACCUGCAGGACCAGAGUCGGCAUAUUCAGGAGGUUUCCAGGGGUUUUGAGGAUGCAUUAAAACAAAUUGCACCAAAAAAAACCUUAGGAAUAAACCUGACUAAGGAGGCGAAAGUUCUUCUAUGCCAAGGACUAUAAAACAGUAAUUAAGGAAACUGAAGAUGACGCAAAGGACUGGAAAGCUAUUCCAUGCUCUUGGAUUGGAAGAAUGCUGUUAAAAUGGCCAUACUACCCAAAGGUAUCUACAGGUUUAAUGUCAUCCCUAUCAAAUAAUCCAUGACAUUUUUUAUAGAACUAGAACAAAUAAUCCUAAGAUUAUGUGGAACCACAAAAGACCCAGAAUUGCCAAAGCAAUCCUGUGGAAAAGAAGAGGCAUAACCUUCACAUUUCAUGCAGAAGGCAUGAACCGUCCCAGACUUCAGACAAUACUACACAACUACAGUAAUCAAAAUGGCUGAGUAUUGGUACAAAAAAAGGCAUAUGGAUUAAUGGAACACAAUAGAGUCCAGAAAUAAACCCACACACUUAUGGUCAAUUAAUCUUCAAAAAGGAGGCAAGAACAUACAAUCAGAAAAAGUCUCUUCAGCAAGAGGUGUUGGGAAUGUUAGGGAGCUGCAGGUAAAACAAUUAAGGUAGAACAUAUCCUCACACCCUACACAAAAAUAAACUCAAAAUGGCUUAAAGUCUUAGACCUGACAUGAUGCCAUAAAACUCCUACAAGAGAAUAGAGGUAAAAUUUUCUCUGGCAUAAAUCAUACACACAUUUUAAGUCAGUAUCCCAAGGCAAUAGAAAUAAAGCAGAAAUAAACAAAUGGGAGCAAAUCAAAUUUACAAUAUUUUGCACAGCAAAGGAAACCAUAAACAAAGGAAAAGACAACCUAUGGCAGAAAAUAUUUGCAAACGGUGUGACCAACAAGGGCUUGAUUUCCAAAAUACACAAAUAGCUCAUACAACUCAAAACAAAAAAAAACUCAAUUGAAAAAUAGGCAGAACUAAAACACAAAUUAGAGAAGUACAAAUCAAAACUACUCAUCUCACACUGGUCAAAACGGUUAUCAUUAACACUGGAGAGGGUAUGGAGAAAAGGGAACAUUCCUACACUGUUGGUGGAAAUGUAAAUUGGUGCAGCCACUAUGGAAAACAGUAUGGAGGCUCCUCC